rnacentral:rRNA from 1 species
GUCACCGGGAGGCAUCUCCUGGUGACCAAAGAUUUAUCGCUCUGGGAUGGGCUCAUGUCUGAUUAGAUAGUUGGCGGGGCAACGGCCCACCAAGUCUGCGAUCAGUAGCCGGACUGAGAGGUUGAACGGCCACAUUGGGACUGAGAUACGGCCCAGACUCCUACGGGAGGCAGCAGUGGGGAAUAUUGGGCAAUGGGCGCAAGCCUGACCCAGCAACGCCGCGUGAAGGAAGAAGGCUUUCGGGUUGUAAACUUCUUUUAUCAGGGACGAAGGAUGUGACGGUACCUGAUGAAUAAGCCACGGCUAACUACGUGCCAGCAGCCGCGGUAAUACGUAGGUGGCGAGCGUUGUCCGGAUUUACUGGGUGUAAAGGGCGCGUAGGCGGGAAGGCAAGUCAGGUGUGAAAUCUAUGGGCUCAACCCAUAAACUGCACUUGAAACUGUUUUUCUUGAGUGUCGGAGAGGUAGAUGGAAUUCCUAGUGUAGCGGUGAAAUGCGUAGAUAUUAGGAGGAACACCAGUGGCGAAGGCGAUCUACUGGACGAUAACUGACGCUGAGGCGCGAAAGCGUGGGGAGCAAAC